CUACGGGGAGGUGCGAAUACCCUUUGAUCCGUAGAUUUCCGAAUGGGGAAACCCACCUAAGGUACUUGGAAAAUCAGAGCAGCCGGAAGGUCGCAAGGCCGACUUGCUGCUGUGGUUUCCAAGUAUCGAUAAUAGGUAACUUACCCUGAAUACAUAGGGGUAAAGUGGCGAACGCGGGGAACUGAAACAUCUAAGUACCCGUAGGAAAGGACAUCAACCGAGACUCCGGAAGU
rnacentral:rRNA from 1 species